rnacentral:rRNA from 1 species
AUUGAACGCUGGCGGCAGGCCUAACACAUGCAAGUCGAGCGGAUGAAGAGAGCUUGCUCUCUGAUUCAGCGGCGGACGGGUGAGUAAUGCCUAGGAAUCUGCCUGGUAGUGGGGGACAACGUUUCGAAAGGAACGCUAAUACCGCAUACGUCCUACGGGAGAAAGCAGGGGACCUCCGGGCCUUGCGCUAUCAGAUGAGCCUAGGUCGGAUUAGCUAGUAGGUGAGGUAAAGGCUCACCUAGGCGACGAUCCGUAACUGGUCUGAGAGGAUGAUCAGUCACACUGGAACUGAGACACGGUCCAGACUCCUACGGGAGGCAGCAGUGGGGAAUAUUGGACAAUGGGCGAAAGCCUGAUCCAGCCAUGCCGCGUGUGUGAAGAAGGUCUUCGGAUUGUAAAGCACUUUAAGUUGGGAGGAAGGGCAGUAAGUUAAUACCUUGCUGUUUUGACGUUACCAACAGAAUAAGCACCGGCUAACUUCGUGCCAGCCGCCGCCGUAAUAC